AUGAACGCUGACAGAAUGCUUAACACAUGCCAGUCACCUCGAAUUUGGGUUUUUAACUUAGGUUUGGGUGUCGGACGGGUGAGUAACGCGUAAAGAACUUGCCUCACAGCUAGGGACAACAUUUGGAAACGAAUGCUAAUACCUAAUAUUAUGAUAAUAGGGCAUCCUAUAAUUAUGAAAGCUAUAAGCGCUGUGAGAGAGCUUUGCGUCCCAUUAGCUAGUUGGAGAGGUAACGGCUCACCAAGGCGAUGAUGGGUAGCCGGCCUGAGAGGGUGAUCGGCCACACGGGGACUGAGACACGGCCCUUACUCCUACGGGCGGCAGCAGUGAGUAAUAUUGGACAAUGGACCGAGAGUCUGAUCAAGCAAUUCUGUGUGCACGAUGAAGUUUUUCGGAAUGUAAAGUGCUUUCAGUUGGGAAGAAAAAAAUGACGGUACCAACAGAAGAAGUGACGGCUAAAUACGUG
rnacentral:rRNA from 1 species